GCACCCGUAGCUCAGCUGGAUAGAGCGUUGCCCUCCGAAGGCAAAGGUCACACGUUCGAAUCGUGUCGGGUGCG
rfam:Methylobacterium sp. Leaf399 contig_12, whole genome shotgun sequence.